rnacentral:rRNA from 1 species
GACGAACGCUGGCGGCGUGCCUAAUACAUGCAAGUUGAGCGAUGAAGAUUGGUGCUUGCACCAAUUUGAAGAGCAGCGAACGGGUGAGUAACGCGUGGGGAAUCUGCCUUUGAGCGGGGGACAACAUUUGGAAACGAAUGCUAAUACCGCAUAAUAACUUUAAACAUAAGUUUUAAGUUUGAAAGAUGCAAUUGCAUCACUCAAAGAUGAUCCCGCGUUGUAUUGGCUAGUUGGUGAGGUAAAGGCUCACCAAGGCGAUGAUACAUAGCCGACCUGAGAGGGUGAUCGGCCACAUUGGGACUGAGACACGGCCCAAACUCCUACGGGAGGCAGCAGUAGGGAAGCUUCGGCAAUGGACGAAAGUCUGACCGAGCAACGCCGCGUGAGUGAAGAAGGUUUUCGGAUCGUAAAACUCUGUUGGUAGAGAAGAACGUUGGUGAGAGUGGAAAGCUCAUCAAGUGACGGUAACUACCCAGAAAGGGACGGCUAACUACGUG